rnacentral:antisense_RNA from 1 species
GGUGGGAGCGGGCUUGCUCGCGAUGCAGGCGACGCGGUCUUUCAAAAAAAAACGCGCUGAUUUCAUCGCGAGCAAGCCCGCUCCCACC